rnacentral:rRNA from 1 species
UACAGAGACUGCAAGCGUUAUUCGGAUUCACUGGGCGUAAAGGGUGCGCAGGCGGCCAAGUGUGUGAGGCGUGAAAGCCUGGAGCUUAACUCCAGAAUUGCACCUCAAACUACAUGGCUAGAGCAUUGGAGAGGGUAGCGGAAUUCACGGUGUAGCAGUGAAAUGCGUAGAUAUCGGGUAGAACACCAGUGGCGAAGGCGGUCUUCUGGACAGUGACUGACGCUGAGACGCGAAAGCGUGGGGAGC